CCCACGUGGGCGCUGCUGCUGACAGUCCUCAUCUGCGAGACUGGCAUCCUCAUCGCCUCUCUGGACAGCGUGGCCCCGAUCCUCUCCAUGUUCUUCCUCAUGUGCUACCUGUUCGUGAACCUGGCCUGCGCCGUGCAGACCCUGCUACGUACCCCCAACUGGCGUCCACGCUUCAAGUUCUACCACUGGUGAGGCCACUCAGCACGGGCGUGAGGAGCCCCACAGGCUGGGACACUGGGUGCCUCUGCCACUGGUGAGGCCGCUCAGCACAGGCGUCAGGAGCCCCACAGGCUGGGACACUGGGUGCCUCUACAAGGCCAGCUGCUCUGGGCCUGAAGACCCCAGCGCGUCCUUGACUGUUCCUUUGCGGAGUAAGCCCCUGCGCAGCUGAUGAGACUGCACCUGAGGAAGGCCUCUGGUUACGAGGAUGCCCAGGACCCUGUCCUUUCUGGGUAUGAGCCUGUGCCUGGCGCUGAUGUUCAUCUGCUCCUGGUACUACGCGCUGUCCGCCAUGCUCAUCGCUGGCUGCAUCUACAAGUACAUCGAGUACCGCGGGGCCGAGAAGGAGUGGGGCGAUGGCAUCCGUGGCCUAUCCCUGAACGCCGCCCGCUACGCCCUGCUGCGCGUGGAGCACGGUCCCCCCCACACCAAGAACUGGAGG
rnacentral:lncRNA from 1 species